AUUGAACGCUGGCGGCAGGCCUAACACAUGCAAGUCGAACGAGUGGCGGACGGGUGAGUCAUGUCUGGGAAACUGCCUGAUGGAGGGGGAUACCUACUGGAAACGGUAGCUACUACCGCAUACCCUCAGAUGUGCCCCGAUGGGAUUAGCUAGUUGGUGGGGUAACGGUUCACCAAGGCGACGAUCCCUAGCUGGUCUGAGAGGACGACCAGCCACACUGGAACUGAGACACGGUCCAGACUCCUACGGGAGGCAGCAGUGGGGAAUAUUGCACAAUGGGCGCAAGCCGGAUGCAGCCAUGCCGAGUGAAUGAAGAAGGCCUUCGGGUUUUAAAGUACUUUCAGCGGGGAGGCGUUACCCGCAGAAGAAGCACCGGCUAACUCCGUGCCAGCAGCCGCGGUAAUAC
rnacentral:rRNA from 1 species